rnacentral:rRNA from 1 species
UACGGGGGGGGCAAGCGUUGUUCGGAAUUACUGGGCGUAAAAGGCUCGUAGGCGGCCAACUAAGUCAGACGUGAAAUCCCUCGGCUUAACCGGGGAACGGCAUCUGAUACUGGAUGGCUGGAGUUCGGGAGAGGGAUGCGGAAUUCCAGGUGUAGCGGUGAAAUGCGUAGAUAUCUGGAGGACACCGGUGGCGAAGGCGGCAUCCUGGACCGACACUGACGCUGAGGAGCGAAAGCCAGGGGAGCAAAGCGGG